rnacentral:rRNA from 1 species
GAUGAACGCUAGCGGCAGGCUUGAUACAUGCAAGUCGAGGGACAGCACAGGUAGCAAUACUGGGUGGUAACCGGCAAACGGGUGCGGAACACGUACACAACCUUCCUUUAAGUGGGGGAUAGCCCAGAGAAAUUUGGAUUAAUACCCCGUAAUAUAGUUGAAUGGCAUCAUUUGAUUAUUAUAGCUACGGCGCUUAAUGAUGGGUGUGCGGCUGAUUAGAUAGUUGGCGGGGUAACGGCCCACCAAGUCUACGAUCAGUAGCUGAUGUGAGAGCAUGAUCAGCCACACGGGCACUGAAACACGGGCCCGACUCCUACGGGAGUCAGCAGUAAGGAAUAUUGGUCAAUGGACGCAAGUCUGAACCAGCCAUGCCGCGUGAAGGAUUAAGGUCCUCUGGAUUGUAAACUUCUUUUAUUUGGGACGAAAAAGGGCCUUUCUAGGUCAACUGACGGUACCAGAUGAAUAAGCACCGGCUAACUCCGUGCCAGCCGCCGCCGUAACAC